rnacentral:rRNA from 1 species
ACCUCGUGCUACAGGAUGAGCUUGCGUCGGAUUAGCUAGUUGGUGGGGUAAGGCCUACCAAGGCGACGAUCCGUAGCUGGUCUGAGAGGAUGAUCAGCCACACCGGGACUGAGACGCGGCCCGGACUCCUACGGGAGGCAGCAGUGGGAAUAUUGCGCAAUGGGGGCAACCCUGACGCAGCCAUGCCGCGUGUGUGAAGAAGGCCUUCGGGUUGUAAAGCACUUUCAGUGGGGAGGAAAGGGGCGCUGGCUAAUAUCCAGUGCAGUUGACGCUACCCACAGAAGAAGCACCGGCUAAUUCCGUGCCAGCAGCCGCGGUAAUACGGAAGGUGCGAGCGUUAAUCGGAAUUACUGGGCGUAAAAGCGCGCGUAGGCGGCUUGGUAAGUCGGGGUGUGAAAAGCCCCCGGGCUCAACCUGGGAACUGCAUUCGAUACUGCUGGGCUAGAGUACGAGAGAGGGGG